AAGUCGUAACAAGGUUUCCGUAGGUGAACCUGCGGAAGGAUCAUUAUCAUAACGUAUCCACGUAUAAACCAACUUUAAAUUGAUGUGAAACGUAACUGUUUUAACACCUCGAGAUAAUCAGAUGAUUGCUAUACUUUAACAUUGUUUGCGUGAUUAAAGCAAAAACGGUUUAGUAUGGACCUGUGCCUGUAACAAGGUGCUAGCGCUGAUUAUUUGGAGUGUAAAAAUUUAAUCAACUAUUAACCCAUUGAACCGAAUUACUAUAUUCUUAACUGAGUUUAGUUAUUCAUUUUAAUUUCUAUUGUGUGAACUGAAUUGUCUACUUACUUGACACCGUCAUUGGUGGAGAGAAGUCGAUUAUAUUUACGAAACAUUAUAAAUUUCUAUGAACAACUCUUAGCAACGGGUAUCUUGGUUCUC
rnacentral:misc_RNA from 1 species